rnacentral:lncRNA from 1 species
CUUGGUUUGAUUCAUCACUUGGUAUAACAUUCAAUGCCGGUGUUUCUUCUAUAUAAUCUUCUUCUGAAUCUUCUCCAUAAUCCUAUAUUCACAAAAUAAAACAUAUAAUAAGUCAUAUUACGUUUAAAUGCUGAAAAAUAAAUAUAAAAAAAUUCAGAUUUGACACCCUUCCUUACGGGGCUUGUAACUCAUUCAAUUUUUAACCAAAUCAAGCGUUUUUAUAGUCUAAAUUACACUAAAAAUCCUAAUCUACAUGUAGGAAAAAGAUUCAUGUCAAAACAAGUUAAAUUGAAUGAGUUAUGCACAUUUGAACAACAAAAUCACAUGGCGUUAUAUUGCUGUUAGAAAAAAAAAAUUCAGAUUUGACACCCUUCCUUACGGGGCUUGUAACUCAUUCAAUUUUUAACCAAAUCAAGCGUUUUUAUAGUCUAAAUUCAACUACAAAUCCUAAUCUACAUGUAGGAAAAAGAUUCAGGUCAAAACAAGUUAAAUUGAAUGAGUUAUGCACAUUUGAACAACAAAAUAACAUGACGUUAUAUUGCUGUUUCAAAAAAAAAUUCAGAUUUGACACCCUUCCUUACGGGGCUUGUAACUCAUUCAAUUUUUAACCAAAUCAAGCGUUUUUAUAGUCUAAAUUCAACUACAAAUCCUAAUCUACAUGUAGGAAAAAGAUUCAGGUCAAAACAAGUUAAAUUGAAUGAGUUAUGCACAUUUGAACAACAAAAUCACAUCACGUUUUAUUGCUGUUAAAAAAAAAAAAAUCAGAUUUGACACCCUUCCUUGCGGGGCUUGUAACUCAUUCAAUUUUUAACCAAAUCAAGUGUUUUUAUAGUGUAAACUCAACUACAAAUCCUAAUCUACAUGUAGGAAAAAGAUUCAGGUCAAAACAAGUUAAAUUGAACUAGUUAUGCACAAUUUAAUAUUUGGACAGAUUGCUAAAGAAAUAAAUAUUGCUAAUGAGCUAAAUACUAAUCUUACUUGGUCAUCAAAGUCUUUUCCAAUCCAAUUAGCCGGAUUACCAUCUUCAAUAUUGGCAUCAUGAGCAUCCGAGUUUCGGUAUCUUGAUGAUGGUACAUUUGGUAGCCCAUCCAAAUCCUACAAUGUCAAUUUUACACAUUAAUUAUAUAACAAAAGUACUAAACAAAUUCGUAGUUUUGACAAUCUUACAUAAUUACAUUCAUACUAUAAACAAUAAACUAAUCUAACAAAAAUCUUGCAUGUAUGUCUACAAAGUACAUUGUUAAAUGGAGCUUAAAACAUGAAACAUAUAUUAUAUGUACAACCUUUCAUCCGUAAAGGAGUACUCCACUAUGAGACUAUGAUCAAAAAUCAAGAUCUUUUAAUUAAGUAGGGAUAACAAUGCAUAUAUUUGGAAUGGAGACAACAAAACCAAAGAAAAAAAACUUGCAUGCAUGCCAUUAUUUGGUGAAUCAUUGAAGCAUUGAAGAUUUGAAGCUAAUAUUGAAGUAUAUAAUCUUAAAACAUGAAAUAUAAAUAUAUGCUCUUACUUGAUCUUCAUGAACAUCCAUAGUUUGAAUCAUUGAAGCAAUUGAAGAUAAAAAAUUGAAAAUCAAUGAAUGAUGAUAAAGAAUUGAAGAUCGUUUGAAACUUGGAGAUGGAAACUUGUAAUCAAUGGAAACUUGGAGAUGAAGAAUUGAUCAAUUGAAUGAUGAUGAAGUGAUGCUGAUUGCCGAUUGUU